rnacentral:rRNA from 1 species
ACCUUGAAGUAAUAAGCAUGGGYUAACUCCGUGCCAGCAGCCGMCGGUAAUGACGGUAGGAUGCAAGUGUUAUCCGGAAUCACUGGGCGUAAAGCGUCUGUAGGUGGUUUAAUAAGUUCAACUGUUAAAUCUUGAGGSUUAACUUCAAAAUCGCAGUCGAAACUAUUAGACUAGAGUAUAGUAGGGGUAAAGGGAAUUUCCAGUGGAGCGGUGAAAUGCGUAGAGAUUGGAAAGAACACCGWWGGCGAAGGCACUUUANUGGGCUAUUACUGACACUCAGAGACGAAAGCUAGGGUAGCAAWWGGGAUUAGAUACCCCAGUAGUCCUAGCUGUAAACA